rnacentral:snRNA from 1 species
GGGUUUGAGGGGGAUCAGGCUGUGGCAUCAGUUACCACAUUCAUCACCAGGGUGACAGCUGAUCUUAGGGUGAGGCAAGUGUCCCUUUCUGUCUUGCCACUCCACGUGUCCUUUCUAAAGCUGCCUGCUCAGCUGAAGAGGAUGACCUUGUCCUACGGGAAAAGAUGUUCCCUUAGUCAAGGAUGGAUGAGUAGCUGCCCUCCCUUGCUAGACCCUCCAAACAAGCUCAGAAAUCCUAGCGGGAAACAGAAUCCAAAUCGCACAUUAAUGACUCAGGAACAGGCAAAGAUUUUUU